rnacentral:rRNA from 1 species
GCAAGUCGAGGGGUAACAGGGAAGUUCGCUUCCGCUGACGACCGGCGCACGGGUGCGUAACGCGUAUGCAACCUACCUUUAACUGGGGAAUAGCCCCGAGAAAUCGGGAUUAAUACCUCAUAACAUUUAUCAUUCGCAUGUUUGAUAAAUUAAAGUUUCGACGGUUAAAGAUGGGCAUGCGUGACAUUAGUUAGUUGGUGAGGUAACGGCUCACCAAGACCACGAUGUCUAGGGGUUCUGAGAGGAUUUUC